rnacentral:rRNA from 1 species
AGUGAACGCUGGCGGUAGGCCUAACACAUGCAAGUCGAACGGCAGCACAGUAAGAGCUUGCUCUUACGGGUGGCGAGUGGCGGACGGGUGAGGAAUACAUCGGAAUCUACUUUUUCGUGGGGGAUAACGUAGGGAAACUUACGCUAAUACCGCAUACGACCUACGGGUGAAAGCAGGGGAUCUUCGGACCUUGCGCGAUUGAAUGAGCCGAUGUCGGAUUAGCUAGUUGGCGGGGUAAAGGCCCACCAAGGCGACGAUCCGUAGCUGGUCUGAGAGGAUGAUCAGCCACACUGGAACUGAGACACGGUCCAGACUCCUACGGGAGGCAGCAGUGGGGAAUAUUGGAUAAUGGGCGCAAGCCUGAUCCAGCCAUACCGCGUGGGUGAAGAAGGCCUUCGGGUUGUAAAGCCCUUUUGUUGGGAAAGAAAAGCAGCAGGUUAAGACCCCGCUGUUCUGACGGUACCCAAAGAAUAAGCACCGGCUAACUUCGU